UACAGAGGUCUCAAGCGUUGUUCGGAUUCAUUGGGCGUAAAGGGUGCGUAGGCGGCGCGGUAAGUCGGAUGUGAAAUCUCGGAGCUUAACUCCGAAACUGCAUUCGAUACUGCCGUGCUUGAGGACUGGAGAGGAGACUGGAAUUUACGGUGUAGCGGUGAAAUGCGUAGAUAUCGUAAGGAAGACCAGUGGCGAAGGCGGGUCUCUGGACAGUUCCUGACGCUGAGGAGCGAAAGCGUGGGGAGCAAACAGG
rnacentral:rRNA from 1 species